AUGGCUGUCCCACAAGUUGACAAGAAAAUGCUUGGUGAACUUGAAGUUAUGGGAUUCCCCGCCGUUCGUUCAAUUAGGGCACUUCAUUAUUCUGGUAAUUCCAAUCUUGAAUCUGCGAUAAAUUGGCUUCUGGAACAUGAAAGUGACUCAGACAAUGAUCAGCUACCAUUGGUUUCAAGAGAAAUCAGCAUUGAAUGCGGCGACACAUCAAACGAAGUGAGAAACAGCGCUCAAGGAAUGAGGACCCAUGCCCAGGAGAGAAAAUCAGAAGAGCAAGCUACAGCUGGAAGUCAGAAGGAGAUUUCAGAGGUGGAAAGAGAACUCAAUGCCAAUGAACAUGAGGAAGAGGAUAGAAAGAGGGUUCUAGCACUACAUAAGUCAAAGCGUGUCGAGGAAGAAAAAUCAAGAGGGAGAAUCAGAAAUCAACUUCAGGAGGAUAAGAGGGUGAGGAUUCAAGCUGCUAAAGAUGUUAUGGAAGCAAAACGGACUCUUGAAGAAAAUCAAAGAAAACGCAUGAUGGAAAGUCGAAAAGCAGAACAAGAGGAGAAAAGAGCAAGGGAGAGAAUCCGUCAGCGUAUAGAGGAUGAUAAGGCCGAAAGGAGGAGAGGACUUGGUUUGCCACGGGAAAAUACAGUAGCAUCACCCCCAAUAGUAACUCUCGCAAAGGUAAAACCUAUUGAACCAAUUGUAACAUCAGAACAAUUGAGAGAUUGUCUACGAAAUCUGAAAAAGAAUCACAAGGAUGACAACGCUAGAGUGAAAAGAGCAUUCCAAAUAUUGCUGAAGAUAGUCGCCAACAUAGUAAAGAACCCAGAAGAGGAGAAGUUCAGGAGGAUUCGACUAAGCAACCCUGUUUUCAAGGACAGGGUGGGUAAUCUGCAAGGCGGGGUAGAGUUCCUGGAGCUGUGCGGGUUCCAGAAGCUCAGGAACAACAGCUACCUGGUCAUGCCGAGGGGCAAGGUCGACGUGGCGCUCCUCAACGCAGCGGGGGUCGAGAUCGCGUCUGCCAUGGAGAAUCCCUACUUUGGGCUGCUCUCCAAGUGA
rnacentral:rRNA from 1 species